rnacentral:tRNA from 1 species
GCCUUAUUAGCUCAGUGGAAGAGCGUCCGGCUGUUAACCGGAAGCGCGUUGGUUCAAAUCCAACAUAAGGCUCCA